UAGUAGACUACCACACAGUUGCUGACCGUGUGUUAUUUCAGGUUAGUUUGCAACAACAUACAAGUUUAACCAAAGUCCUUAGUUGCUACCUAGCUAGCGAACAUUACUAGCAGUUCCCAUUCACUUUUUGUUUACUGUGCUAACAUUAGCUAGCUAGCUAGCUAGCUCGGUUAACGGG